GCAUUCGCCCUUCGGGGUGCAGCAGGCGCGAAAACUUUACAAUGCUGGCAACAGCGAUAAGGGGACCUCGAGUGCCAGGAUACAAUCUUGGCUGUCGUAAUGCCUAAAAAGCAUUGCAUAGCAAGGGCCGGGCAAGACCGGUGCCAGCCGCCGCGGUAACACCGGCGGCUCGAGUGGUAACCGCUAUUAUUGGGUCUAAAGGGUCUGUAGCCGGCCGGAUAAGUCUCUUGGGAAAUCCAGCUGCUUAACAGUUGGGCUUUCAGGAGAUACUGUUCGGCUCGAGACCGGGAGAGGUGAGAGGUACUUCAGGGGUAGGGGUGAAAUCUUGUAAUCCUUGAAGGACCACCAGUGGCGAAGGCGUCUCACCAGAACGGAUCUGACGGCAAGGGACGAAAGCUAGGGGCACGAACCGGAUUAGAUACCCGGGUAGUCCUAGCCGUAAACGAUACUCGCUAGGUGUCAGCCACGGUGCGACCGUGGUUGGUGCCGUAGGGAAGCCGUGAAGCGAGCCACCUGGGAAGUACGGCCGCAAGGCUGAAACUUAAAGGAAUUGGCGGGGGAGCAC
rnacentral:rRNA from 1 species